AUUGAACGCUGGCGGCAUGCCUUACACAUGCAAGUCGAACGGUAACAGGUCUUCGGAUGCUGACGAGUGGCGUACGGGUGAGUAAUACAUCGGAACGUGCCUAGUAGUGGGGGAUAACUACUCGAAAGAGUGGCUAAUACCGCAUGAGAUCUACGGAUGAAAGCAGGGGAUCGCAAGACCUUGUGCUACUAGAGCGGCCGAUGGCAGAUUAGGUAGUUGGUGGGAUAAAAGCUUACCAAGCCGACGAUCUGUAGCUGGUCUGAGAGGACAAUCAGCCACACUGGGACUGAGACACGGCCCAGACUCCUACGGGAGGCAGCAGUGGGGAAUUUUGGACAAUGGGCGCAAGCCUGAUCCAGCAAUGCCGCGUGCAGGAUGAAGGCCUUCGGGUUGUAAACUGCUUUUGUACGGAACGAAAAGCCCUGGGUUAAUACCCUGGGGUCAUGACGGUACCGUAAGAAUAAGCACCGGCUAACUACGUGCCAGCCGCCGCCGUAAGAC
rnacentral:rRNA from 1 species